rnacentral:rRNA from 1 species
UACGUAGGGGGGCAAGCGUUGUCCGGAAUCAUUGGGCGUAAAGCGCGUGUAGGCGGCUUGGUAAGUCCGCUCUGAAAGCCCCGGGGGCUCAACCCCGGGAGGCGGGUGGAUACUGUCAAGCUCGAGUCCGGAAGAGGCGAGUGGAAUUCCUGGUGUAGCGGUGAAAUGCGCAGAUAUCAGGAGGAACACCAAUGGCGAAGGCAGGUCUCUGGGCAGUAACUGACGUGAGGAGCGAAAAGCGUGGGGGAGCGAACAGG